GAAAAUGUCUGGAGAGAGGAAAAUAUUGCAUUAUCUCUGCACAUUUUAUUGUCAUCUUCAAGAAUGACUCUGAAGGAAGAAUGACUCAUUUUGGAAACAGAGAACGUAAUGAAAUAUCCAUGAAAGGUCUGAAACUGGAUGGUUACAGUGACUGUUAUAAAUAGGUUUCCACAAGCUAAAUAAGGGAAUUUGGUGAAAUGUCCAGGUGCUGAUUUGGGCAAGUCAUUAAAUAUGUUGGGAGAUGGGAUUGCCUGAGUUUGAGCUACAGGAAUACUUAAGAAUUCUUAAAUCACAACAAGUAUUACAGUGUGGUCCUUAUUUUGGUUUCCAUUACCUCUCCUGCAUCUCUUCUUUCUCCUUGUGCAUUGCAGAGUAGUAGAAAUGUCUACGGCUACUGUACUUUAAUGCUUGAUUAAAGCAAAUUAUACCAGAGGAGCAGUCAGAAGAAUGCUUUCAUAAUCUAGCAAAAUAUUCUCAGGAAGAGAAAAAAGCAAUCCCUGCGAAAUGACUAUUUCUAAAAAAAGGAACAACUUAUUAGACUUGAAUGGUUCUUCUCAAAGAUGAGCCAGUCAUGGAGCUCAUCCAUCAUUUCCAUCGACAUCAUGGCAACAGGAGCUGUGGAAAGAAAUGCUCAAGGACGAGUUUUCUGAUCUUUCCCUGUGGCUUGGUGCCAGUAACCCAGCUAUUAGUUUCUACACCGAAUUUAAGAGCUGAAUCACAAGCCUAAUGACUCCAGAACAGCCAUCAACACCUCAAGAAAAACCUCUGUGUUCUUUGUUUUAUUACUUCAUUUCCAAGGUGCUGGUAACAAAGGACUAUUUGUUUUCCAGGAGCAGCGAGAUGAUGGUUUGUAUUUACCUCUCUGAAACCAACAUCCACUCAGUGCCUGUCACAGAAACAACUUCUGAAAAGAAGCUGCUGUAACAGAAAUAUUCAUCUUUUUUAAUUUGCUUCAGCUAAUAAAUCAGAUAUGUGCAAAGCCUCGAA